GACGAACGCNGGCGGCGUGCUUAACACAUGCAAGUCGAACGAAGAGCGACGGAAGCUUGCUUCUAUCAAUCUUAGUGGCGAACGGGUGAGUAACGCGUAAUCAACCUGCCCUUCAGAGGGGGACAACAGUUGGAAACGACUGCUAAUACCGCAUACGAUCUAAUCUCGGCAUCGAGGAUGGAUGAAAGGUGGCCUCUACAUGUAAGCUAUCACUGAAGGAGGGGAUUGCGUCUGAUUAGCUAGUUGGAGGGGUAACGGCCCACCAAGGCGAUGAUCAGUAGCCGGUCUGAGAGGAUGAACGGCCACAUUGGGACUGAGACACGGCCCAGACUCCUACGGGAGGCAGCAGUGGGGAAUCUUCCGCAAUGGACGAAAGUCUGACGGAGCAACGCCGCGUGAGUGAUGACGGCCUUCGGGUUGU
rnacentral:rRNA from 1 species